rnacentral:rRNA from 1 species
CACGUAGGGGGCAAGCGUUGUCCGGAUUUAUUGGGCGUAAAGAGCUCGUAGGCGGUUCGGUAAGUCGGGUGUUAAACCCCCAGGCUCAACCUGGGGACGCCACUCGAUACUGCUGUGACUAGAGUCCGGUAGGGGAGCGUGGAAUUCCUGGUGUAGCGGUGAAAUGCGCAGAUAUCAGGAGGAACACCGAUGGCGAAGGCAGGUCUCUGGGCAUUAACUGACGCUGAGGAGCGAAAGCAUGGGGAGCGAACAGG